rnacentral:rRNA from 1 species
UACGAAGGGUGCAAGCGUUAAUCGGAAUUACUGGGCGUAAAGGGUGCGCAGGCGGUUCUGUAAGUCAGAUGUGAAAUCCCCGGGCUUAACCUGGGAACUGCGUUUGAAACUACAGAGCUAGAGUGUGGCAGAGGGGGGUGGAAUUCCAUGUGUAGCAGUGAAAUGCGUAGAGAUAUGGAAGAACAUCGAUGGCGAAGGCAGCCCCCUGGGUCAACACUGACGCUCAUGCACGAAAGCGUGGGGAGCAAACAGAAUUAGAUACCCUGGUAGUCGACGCCCUAAACUAUGUCAACUAGUUGUCGGGCCUUAUUGGGUUUGGUAACGUAGCUAACGCGUGAAGUUGCCCGCCUGGGGAGUACGGUCGCGAGAUUAAAACUCAAAGGAAUUGACGG